UAGUUGCAAGGUAUAGACCCGAAACCCGGUGAUCUAGCCAUGGGCAGGUUGAAGGUUGGGUAACACUAACUGGAGGACCGAACCGACUAAUGUUGAAAAAUUAGCGGAUGACUUGUGGCUGGGGGUGAAAGGCCAAUCAAACCGGGAGAUAGCUGGUUCUCCCCGAAAUCUAUUUAGGUAGAGCCUUGAGGUGACACCUUUGGGGGUAGAGCACUGUUUCGGCUAGGGGUCCAUCCCGGAUUACCAACCCGAUGCAAACUACGAAUACCAAAGAGUGAUACUCAGGAGACACACGGCGGGUGCUAACGUCCGUCGUGGAGAGGGAAACAACCCAGACCGCCAGCUAAGGUCCCCAAGUCUAUAUUAAGUGGGAAACGAAGUGGGAAGGCUUAGACAGCUAGGAUGUUGGCUUAGAAGCAGCCAUCAUUUAAAGAAAGCGUAAUAGCUCACUAGUCGAGUCGGCCUGCGCGGAAGAUGUAACGGGGCUGAAAUAUAGCACCGAAGCUGCGGCAUCAGGCGUAUCACUAAUACGCCUUACGAUUAACAACAUGGAAUGGCGCGAAGCGACAUGAAAGGUUGUUCAAGCAACCCGAACGUUGAGUCGGGCAUCUUAGAGUGAGGAUGAUUAGUGAUACGCCUGUUGGGUAGGGGAGCGUUGUGUAAGCGGAAGAAGGUUCAUCGAGAGGUGGGCUGGACGUAUCACAAGUGCGAAUGCUGACAUAAGUAACGAUAAAACGGGUGAAAAACCCGUUCGCCGGAAGACCAAGGGUUCCUGUCCAACGUUAAUCGGGGCAGGGUGAGUCGGCUCCUAAGGCGAGGCUGAAAAGCGUAGUCGAUGGGAAACAGGUUAAUAUUCCUGUACUUGGUAAAGCUGCGAUGUGGGGACGGAGUAGGUUAGGUUAUCGCACUGUUGGAUAUGUGCGUUUAAGUUGGUAGGUGGGAAGUUUAGGCAAAUCCGGACUUCCUUAACACAGAGAGAUGAUGACGAGGCUCUACGGAGCUGAAGUAACUGAUACCACACUUCCAGGAAAAGCCACUAAGCGAAAGGCUUUACUAAACCGUACUGAAAACCGACACAGGUGGUCAGGUAGAGAAUACUCAGGCGCUUGAGAGAACUCGGGUGAAGGAACUAGGCAAAAUAGCACCGUAACUUCGGGAGAAGGUGCGCCGGCGUAGAUUGUAGUCCCUAGCGGGCGAAGGUUGAACCGGUCGAAGAUACCAGCUGGCUGCAACUGUUUAUUAAAAACACAGCACUCUGCAAACACGAAAGUGGAGGUAUAGGGUGUGAUGCCUGCCCGGUGCUGGAAGGUUAAUUGAUGGUGUCAUCGCAAGAGAAGCACCUGAUCGAAGCCCCAGUAAACGGCGGCCGUAACUAUAACGGUCCUAAGGUAGCGAAAUUCCUUGUCGGGUAAGUUCCGACCUGCACGAAUGGCAUAAUGAUGGCCAGGCUGUCUCCACCCGAGACUCAGUGAAAUUGAAAUCGCCGUGAAGAUGCGGUGUACCCGCGGCUAGACGGAAAGACCCCGUGAACCUUUACUAUAGCUUGACACUGAACAUUGAAUUUUGAUGUGUAGGAUAGGUGGGAG
rnacentral:rRNA from 1 species